AGGCAGACUGUUACAGCUGUGUUGACAGCCUCUGACCUGCAGUCAAAUCUCCCUUUUACUUUUAGUGGGCCUAUGUUUUUAAUUUACAGUAAAUCCCAGGGCUGACUUUUAACAACAGCAUUUAAGAUCCCCAUGGAAAAUAAACUUGUGAUACAGCAAGCCAAACAUCCAAUGUAAAAUUAAUGCACCACAGAGAACAUCUUGAAAUAAAAAUUCUAAAUACCCAUAGACACUGCAAUCAAUUUACAUAAGAGUCAGAGCUUUUCGAACCAUGUUAAUUAUGGGUUGUCUACUGUCUUCUUGCUAGGAAUAACUUAUACUGUAGCUACUGUUAACUUAAUGGGCCAGUCCUAGCCUACUGUAGGUCAGCUCUCAUGUCAGUUUGGCGAGGAACUUAUCUUCUUCACACAGAGGCGCGGUUGGGGUGGGGACAGAUUUCUGCGUCACAAAGUUAUGAGCAUAGGACAAAAAUACACAGACGUCAAGAAAGGAGCGCAGGACAGGAUGCCCCAGGAGGAGAUGAAGAAGCCUCUAAUAUGGGGUGGUGCCAGCCCCAGCCCCAGACACCUCAAUUUCCGAUCCAGGUACCCCCUUGGUUGGCAUCCUGGGCACAGGUGACUUCUCCCGCUCCUUAGCCACCGGGCUGGUAGCUUCCGGGUACCGGGUGGUGGUGGGCAGCCGCAACCCCAAGCGCUGUGCCUCCCUCUUUCCCGAGGAGGCUGAGGUGACCACCCAGCACCAGGCUGCCACCCAGGCCGACCUGGUGUUCGUGGCCCUCUUCCCCGAGCACUACUCCACCCUGGCUGGGCUGAGGGAGCCGCUAGUGGGGAAGAUUCUGGUGGAUGUUAGUAACGGUACUAAGAUCAACAGGGAUAAGCAGUCCUACGCGGAGCAGCUGGCCGAUAUCUUCCCAGAGAGCAGUGUGGUGAAGGUCUUCAAUGUGAUCUCGGCCUGGAGCCUGCAGACGGGGCCACGGGACGGCAGCAGACAGAAUGGUGCCCUCCUGACCGCUGAGGUAUAAGAGGUAGAGACUGUCUCCAAGAUGGCCGACCGUUGUUUUCAAGGUAAUCUACUCACGUCCGCAUCAGGCCAGGGUUCUGGUUGGGAAGUAGCCAUCCUAUGUACCUAGAGGAGACUGGUGGUAGGGUCCUAUGGGGUAACUUGCCCCCCCUAAG